rnacentral:rRNA from 1 species
AACGCACCUUGCGCUCCUUGGUAUUCCGAGGAGCAUGCCUGUUUGAGUGUCAUGGUAUUCUCAAUCCAUUCAAUACUGUCAAAGGUAUUGGAUUGGUAUUGGAUGUGGAGGAUUAUUGCUGGUCUCUUUAUUGAGUAUCAGCUCCUCUGAAAUGCAUUAGUGUGAAUGUUUACCGAGCAUUUUCUCAGUGUGAUAAUUAUCAUUCACUGAUCGACGAGGGCUGUGCUAGGCUUCUAACCGUCGCGUUAGUGACAAUCUUGACAAUCUGACCUCAAAUCAGGUAGGACUACCCGCUGAACUUAA